rnacentral:rRNA from 1 species
GACGAACGCUGGCGGCGUGCUUAACACAUGCAAGUCGAACGGAAAGGCCCUGCUUUUGUGGGAUGCUCGAGUGGCGAACGGGUGAGUAACACGUGAGUAACCUGCCCUUGACUUUGGGAUAACUUCAGGAAACUGGGGCUAAUACCGGAUAGGAUCUCCUGCUGCAUGGUGGGGGUUGGAAAGUUUCGGCGGUUGGGGAUGGACUCGCGGCUUAUCAGCUUGUUGGUGGGGUAGUGGCUUACCAAGGCUUUGACGGGUAGCCGGCCUGAGAGGGUGACCGGCCACAUUGGGACUGAGAUACGGCCCAGACUCCUACGGGAGGCAGCAGUGGGGAAUAUUGCAAAAUGGGCGGAAGCCGGAUGCAGCAACGCGGCGUGCGGGAUAACGGCCUUCGGGUUGUAACCCGCUUUCGCCUGUGCCGAAGCGUGAGUGACGGUAAUGGGUAAAGAAGCACCGGCUAACUACGUG